GAUGAACGCUGGCGGCGUGCCUAAUACAUGCAAGUCGAGCGAAUGGAUUAAGAGCUUGCUCUUAUGAAGUUAGCGGCGGACGGGUGAGUAACACGUGGGUAACCUGCCCAUAAGACUGGAUAACUCCGGGAAACCGGGGCUAAUACCGGAUAAUAUUUUGAACUGCAUGGUUCAAAAUUGAAAGGCGGCUUCGGCUGUCACUUAUGGAUGGACCCGCGUCGCAUUAGCUAGUUGGUGAGGUAACGGCUCACCAAGGCAACGAUGCGGAGCCGACCUGAGAGGGUGAUCGGCCACACUGGGACUGAGACACGGCCCAGACUUCUACGGGAGGCAGCAGUAGGGAAUCUUCCGCAAUGGACGAAAGUCUGACGGAGCAACGCCGCGUGAGUGAUGAAGGCUUUCGGGUCGUAAAACUCUGUUGUUAGGGAAGAACAAGUGCUAGUUGAGUAAGCUGGCACCUUGACGGUACCUAACCAGAAAGCCACGGCUAACUACGUGCCAGCCGCCGCCGUAA
rnacentral:rRNA from 1 species